ACUCCUACGGGAGGCAGCAGUGGGGAAUAUUGCACAAUGGGCGAAAGCCUGAUGCAGCAACGCCGCGUGAGUGAAGAAGGCCUUCGGGUUGUAAAGCUCUGUCUUCUGGGACGAUAAUGACGGUACCAGAGGAGGAAGCCACGGCUAACUACGUGCCAGCAGCCGCGGUAAUACGUAGGUGGCAAGCGUUGUCCGGAUUUACUGGGCGUAAAGGAUGCGUAGGCGGAUGCUUAAGUCAGAUGUGAAAAUCCCGAGCUUAACUUGGGAACUGCAUUUGAAACUGGGUAUCUAGAGUGCGGGAGAGGAAAGUGGAAUUCCUAGUGUAGCGGUGAAAUGCGUAGAGAUUAGGAAGAACACCAGUGGCGAAGGCGACUUUCUGGACCGUAACUGACGCUGAGGCAUGAAAGCGUGGGGAGCAAACAGGAUUAGAUACCCUGGUAGUC
rnacentral:rRNA from 1 species